CCUACGGGUGGCAGCAGUGGGGAAUAUUGCACAAUGGGGGAAACCCUGAUGCAGCGACGCCGCGUGAGUGAAGAAGUAUUUCGGUAUGUAAAGCUCUAUCAGCAGGGAAGAAAUAAAGUCCUUCGGACUUUGGUUGGUACCUGACUAAGAAGAACCGGCUAACUACGUGCCAGCAGCCGCGGUAAUACGUAGGGGGCAAGCGUUAUCCGGAUUUACUGGGUGUAAAGGGAGCGUAGACGGUAGAGCAAGUCUGUAGUGAAAUCGCAUGGCUUAACCAUAGAACUGCUUUGGAAACUGUUCAGCUUGAGUGCAGGAGAGGUAAGCGGAAUUCCUGGUGUAGCGGUGAAAUGCGUAGAUAUUACGAGGAACACCAGUGGCGAAGGCGGCUUACUGGACUGUAACUGACGUUGAGGCUCGAAAGCGUGGGUAGCAAACAGGAUUAGAUACCCUAGUAGUC
rnacentral:rRNA from 1 species